rnacentral:rRNA from 1 species
CAGCCGCCGCGGUAAUACGUAGGGUGCAAGCGUUAAUCGGAAUUACUGGGCGUAAAGCGUGCGCAGGCGGUUAUAUAAGACAGAUGUGAAAUCCCCGGGCUCAACCUGGGAACUGCAUUUGUGACUGUAUAGCUAGAGUACGGCAGAGGGGGAUGGAAUUCCGCGUGUAGCAGUGAAAUGCGUAGAUAUGCGGAGGAACACCGAUGGCGAAGGCAAUCCCCUGGGCCUGUACUGACGCUCAUUCACGAAAGCGUGGGGAGCAAACAGGAUUAGAUACCCCGGUAGUCCCUGUCUCUUAUAC